rnacentral:RNase_P_RNA from 1 species
AAUACGAGUUGGCUUAUCGCGUCUGAGCAAUUAGGCGAGGAAAGUCCGGGCAGCAUAGGGCACCCUACUUCCUAACGGGAAGGAGGAUGGUUGGGAACGACCAUUCGACAGCCAGUGUCACAGAAAAUAUACCGCCAAUUUUUAAUGGCGAAUGAAUGAGCGAAUGUGUGAAUAGCUGGCGUAUGCUAUUAUUCUCCUAUACACCGCUUCGGCGGCCCGGUCAUUCGUUCACUCAUUAAGUCUUGGUAAGGGUGAAAAGGUAGGGUAAGAGCCUACCGCCCAACGGGUGACCGGAGGGGCAGGAUAAACCUUAGGGGCUGAAAGACCAAAUAAGCGUUGGAUGUGGGGCGGCUCGUUCCCGUUCUGGAGAAAUCCAGAUGCCAACGCGGGUAGGUCGAACGAGGUGGUCGGUGACGGCCAUCCCAGAUAAAUGAUAAGCCAUUCCAUUUUUGUGGGAGGACAGAACCCGGCUUAUAGACUCGUAUUGAGA